ACAUAAAUAAAAUCUUUUUUUAAAAAAAAGACAUCUUCGAAGACAAAGAGUAUAAUAAAGAUGAAAAUUCCAACUGGAUUUUGGAAGCUGGAAAAGAAAUGUACAAGUGAUAACUGAUUUAGCAGACCAGAGAGCUGAAACCUGUGUGGGCAGUGGGGGAAGAACAGGUCUUAAUUUGUACAUAAUCUUCAAAAAAAUUUACCAGAGUUUUUUUUGAAGGACACUGUGAAUAUGCGAGUGGAGGUAGCACUGAAAGAAGAUUGAUUAAAGAACUAUUAAAGAAAUGAAUUGAUUUCCAAAUUCCUGCCUUAACACAUGCAGAAAACUAGAGGUUUAAUUUUUUGAGAGGUCCAACUUGAGAUCGUGGACUUGGGAACACUGAGCCCAGUGAAGGGAGAUAGAUAGGUGCGUACUGAAAAGCAUUAAGUGGUAGUGUACAUAGUGAAUGCUGCUACUUCUGCUUGGCUUCUAAAACACCGGCAGUCUGGCCAAGAAGUAGAUCCACUGAUACUGACAGCUGGUGAACCCACCAGUUAACAAAGCCCCACUCAGAGUUCCCAGGUAGCUCCUUCUCUUUUACACACAGUGAAACGUGCAGAUCGUAAGAACAUCUGAGAGUUGACCAAGGUAUGCGCCCGUAUAACCAGUAUUCCAACUGGGAUAUAAGUCAUUUCUCUUCCCCCAGAAGUCCAUUCUUGCCUCCUUCUAGUCAGUCUUCCUGACCUCUGUUGUUGUCUUUAGAGGUUAGUUUUGCUUGUUCUUGAACUUCAGGUGAAGGUAAUCUUACAGUUUGUGUGAUUUUGGUGUCUGGCUUCUUCCACUCACAUUAUGCUUUUGAGAACCAUUCAUGUUGUUGUAUGUGUCAGUUUUUUUUCAUUGCUGAGUGGUACACCAUUGAAUGAACAUGCCACAAUUUGUCUUCCAUUCUUUUGCUGAUGGCUAUUUGGGUUUUAUGCAGAUUUGGCCAUUAUGAAUAAAACUGUUACAAACAUUCUUAUAUGUCUUUUGUGUUACAUGUAUGUUUUCAUUUUUCUUGGAUAAAUACCUGGGAAUAGAGUUGUUGAGCCAUAGUGUAAGUGAAUUUUAACUUUGUGAGAAUUUGCCAGUUUUCCAAAGUGGUUACACCAUUUCACACUUCCAUCAGUAAUGUGUAGGCAUUCUAGUAAUUUUGUAUCCUCGCCAGUAUUUGGUGUUUUCAGUCUUUUUGAUUUUUGCUGUUCUAGAGAGUAUGAAAUAUUAUUUCAUUGUGGUGCUAACUUGCAUUUUCCUAAAGAUUAAUGAUGGGCACAUUUUUGUGUCUGUCAUUUGCAUAUCUUCUCUUAAAUAUUAAGAGAAGUAAAUAUUAUGUAAAUAUUAUGUCAUAUCUCUUUGAAGUUUUUGUUUAAAAAAUUACAUUGUUUUAUUGAUUUGUAGGAGUUCAUUAUACUGUAUAUUCUGAACACAAGUUCUUCAUCAUUUGGCAUGCAUUCAUUCAUAUAUACAUAUAAAAGCUAAUGUUUACCCACAGCCUAUGGCAUAUCUUUUCAUUAUGUUUAUGGUAUCUUUUCAUGAGCAGAAACUUUUAAUUUUAAAGAAAUUUAGUUUAUCAGUUAUUUUUCUUUAUAGUUAGUGUUAUUUUGUCUACUCUCUAAAAAAUCUUUGUCUACCCCAAAGUCAUGAAAAAUACUAUUUUUUUUCUAAAAGCUUUUACAUCUAGGUAAAUGGCCACUCUUGAAUUUUAGUGUAUAUCGUAAGAAGCCAGGACAUUUCCCCACAUGUGUUUACUUAGCUUUCUUAGCACCACUGGUUGAAACCAUUAACUCUUUAAUAACACUUCCUUUUUAAAAUGCAUAGAGUGCUAAGAAGAGUUUUGAGGACAAAGAUAUAGCAGAAAAGAUUAUUCAGAGGAAACAAUCAAUAAAUAAGUCUUUAGCUCCAAACUCAAAUAUAAUUGCUAAUCUCAGGAGAGAAAUGAGUAAAUACUGCCCCUACGAAAAAGGGACAGGAGGCUGUCACAAAGGAACAUUCAAAGAGGAAGGAAAGAGCUUCUUGAAUAAAUUAAUAGAAACAAAACUUAGUAGAAUGGUUGGAAGAUAAAGUUGGGAAAAUCUCCUAUAAGUUUUUUUUUAAAAAGACCUAAAUAGGACAGAAAAAUUAGAAGGUCAUUUUAUUAAGUCAUCACCCAAAUAAUAGGAGCUCCAGAGAGACAGAGCAGAAAAGACGAGAAGAUUACCAGAGGAGCCAUCACAGUUGUAGGGUUCAAGGACACAUCUUCCCAGACCGACAGCCCUGCAGAGUGCCCAGUGCAGUGGGUGAAAAAAACCUAGGCCAAGGCACAUCAUGGUCAGAUUUCAGAACACACGUGACAAAAAGCACAUCUGAAAAAGUGUUAGGGAAAGUAGUCAAAGUAGGGUCAUAGACAAAGAAUUAGGAAUCAGAAUAGUAUUAAAUUUAUCAACAAUAACACAGCAAACCAGAAGACAAUGGAGCAAAGCCCUUAACAUUCUGAGGCUUGGGGGUGCCAGCAUACACAUGUGUAUUCAGCUGAGCUAUAACUCAAAUAUGGUAAAAUGAAGAUGUCAGAGAGGUAAAAUCUCAAAAAAUGUACCUCCCUUGUUGCCCUUUCUGAGGAAGCUAAGAGCAUGUGCUGCCCCCCCACCCCUAAGAAAGGGAGUAAACAAAAGAAGUAUCUCUGGAAUUUAUUCUUCCCACAAGUGCCGAGUACCUGCUACGUGCUUUGUGCCAUCAGGGAUGGGCAUAGAGCCACGAACGAAGCAAUGCCCUGCCCAUGGAGCUUACUAGUAAGAGGCCAGCCAUAAAUAUUUUAGUACAGCAGGACUUCACAGUUGCUAUGAAGAAAAAUAGAGAGGGGAGAAAGGCUAGGCAGUGACGGCCUGAGCUGGCGGUAGGGGUGCAGUGUCACAUGGUGAAAGGGGAGCCGGUCAGGAGGGGUCUUAGGGGACGUGGGCAGGCCCAGAGAGCAGCCAGUUUGCAACGGAUCAGGAGAUUGAAAGGCCUGUACUUGUUGUUUACCUGAAAUCCAGACAUACCUGGAUGUCUUAUACUUUAUCUGGCCAUCCUAUUCCAUGAGAGAUGCCUCCAAAGAAAAAUGUAAACUUGUGUUUGAAUGUUUGCAUUUUUCUAGUGGAGAAUUUGGGGAUUAAUUAGUGAUAAGUAGAUAGAAAGCAAGCUGAUAGAAAGUGUGGUAGUUAUAAAUU